rnacentral:lncRNA from 1 species
CAAGAGGAGGCCCAGGAAAAGGAGAGGAAACACAAGAAAAAGGCAGAGAGAGGGAUACCUUGAAAUGGAAUGCAGGCCUGGGACUCCAUAAGCCUGCUGUUCCAGCCAGCCUGUUUCAGAAUUGUCUUUCCUGACGCCUAGCUUUUGGAUGCUACAGAGGGCCCCUGAAGCAUCCAGAAGAGAGGACACAAUUGCAGAAACUAGUUGUUUUACUAAGGCUUUGACUGGAAGGAUAUGCUUCCCUUUGAGGAAUCAAGCUUGGCGUACAGAGCCAAUAAAAGCCCCUUGGGGAAACUGGCUUCAUACCUUGUCUAUACAGUCCCUGUACAGGGUUCCUAACCUGUGGCUAUCAAGCUCCAAAUGGUAAUGCAAAUGAAAUCACACAUGGACACGCCUUUCUUCCAAGGACUCUCAGACCAGCCCUAGGAGGAAUCGUAGCUGCUGUUCCCCACACAAAGCUACUCUGUAGCAGCAAGUAGCCGCAAGGCUCAU